rnacentral:rRNA from 1 species
CCUACGGGAGGCUGCAGUAGGGAAUAUUGGGCAAUGGCGGAAACGCUGACCCAGCCAUGCCGCGUGGAGGAAGACGGCGCUCAGCGUUGUAAACUCCUUUUAUCGGUGAAGAACGACCCGCUUGCGAGCGGGUGUGACGGUAGCCGAGGAAUCAGCACCGGCUAACUCCGUGCCAGCAGCCGCGGUAAUACGGAGGGUGCAAGCGUUGUCCGGAUUUAUUGGGUUUAAAGGGUGCGUAGGUGGGUGCUUAAGUCCGACCUGAAAGUGGGCCGCUC